UACGUAGGGUGCGAGCGUUAAUCGGAAUUACUGGGCGUAAAGCGUGCGCAGGCGGUUCUGAAAGUCAGCUGUGAAAGCCCCGGGCUUAACCUGGGAAUUGCGGUUGAAACUACAGGGCUAGAAUCUGGCAGAGGGGGGUGGAAUCCACGUGUAGCAGUGAAAUGCGUAGAGAUGUGGAGGAACACCGAUGGCGAAGGCAGCCCCCUGGGCUGAGAUUGACGCUCAGGCACGAAAGCGUGGGGAGCAAACAGG
rnacentral:rRNA from 1 species